rnacentral:rRNA from 1 species
CACGUAGGGGGCAAGCGUUGUCCGGAUUUAUUGGGCGUAAAGAGCUCGUAGGCGGUUCGGUAAGUCGGGUGUGAAACCUCCAGGCUCAACCUGGAGAUGCCACCUGAUACUGCUGUGACUCGAGUCCGGUAGGGGAGCGUGGAAUUCCUGGUGUAGCGGUGAAAUGCGCAGAUAUCUGGAGGAACACCGGUGGCGAAGGCGGCAUCCUGGACCAACACUGACGCUGAGUGAGCGAAAGCCAGGGGAGCAAACGGG